rnacentral:lncRNA from 1 species
GAUACUUGUACUUUUAAAAUUUUGAUUUUAGUAAUCAUACUUUUUUCCAUCUAACACUUUGGAACUCCGACCUAACGAUGUUAAUUCCUAACAAAAGUUGACAUGUGGACCAAUCAUGGGCUACUACUUGACAUUGUGUCUAGAAAAGAAAAUUUAACUAGUCAAAGCUAAGGACUUAAAAAUAAUUACAUCAACAAUUACUUUAAAGUGAAAAAAAAUUAAAUAUUUAAAAAUUUUCAAAUUAAUUUUUAAUUGAUGAUUAGUCAAUGCAAGUAAACGAU